UGCAAAUUCAGCGCCAUUCGUGUAUUUUCAUCGUCGGUGAAAGCAAAGAUGGGAGGAUCAGGACGGUUGCGCGAUAAUAAUGAUGCCAUGUGUCCAUGCUUCGUGUAAACAAAGAUGGCAUCUACACCGAGAUUGUUGGCUGCAGAGGGGUUGCAAGAAAUAAUGUGAAGAAGUACCCAUUUCAACCGCGCAAUUGCAUAUUUGCUCCGUGAUGCAUUCGGGCAAUGAUGCUCCGAGUUUAUGGUGAUUGAGAAGACUUUGUCUGUUUUCUUUUCUACUCCAUGAUUCCAUUCUACUGCUAGUCAUAUCCAACACUGCCAAAGCUUUCUGUCCAAAUGAACCGAUAGCCGAUUCGCCAGAUAACAUCAAAGCAUCGGCAUACUGUCGAACCGCUUCAGAAAUAUCCGCUACCUUAUAUUGCGUAAAAGCAAAGAUUAUUGUAACAGGUGAUUACCGAGUUCAGCAUUUCAAAUAUAUAAAUUGAUUUUACCUCGGCGCGAGUUGGUGUUGGAUACUCAACCAUUGACUCAAGAAGCUGAGAAGCUACAAUCACUGGCUUAUUUUGUUGUCUGCAAAUACGAAUUAUACCCUCCUGGACUGUAGGAAUCUGUUCAAGUGGUAUUUCGACUCCGAGGUCGCCACGAGCAACCAUGAUUCCAUCAGAAGCUUUCACUAUUUCCUCUAGAUUAUGAAGAGAUUCUAAGCUUUCUAUCUUUGCCAAUACUUUUAUGGGCCUGAAACAAUCAUUUACCAUUAAUAACUUGUGCUAAGAUAACUUUGAAUUAAAGCACUUAUACA